GGCGCUAUAGUGUAGUGGCUAUCACUCAGGAUUCUGAUUCUUCAUCUUCCUGUAACCCAGGUUCGAACCCUGGUAGUGCCU